CACGAACGCUGGCGGCAGGCUUAACACAUGCAAGUCGAGCGCCCCGCAAGGGGAGCGGCAGACGGGUGAGUAACGCGUGGGAAUCUACCCAUCUCUACGGAAUAACGCAUGGAAACGUGUGCUAAUACCGUAUACGUCCUUCGGGAGAAAGAUUUAUCGGAGAUGGAUGAGCCCGCGUUGGAUUAGCUAGUUGGUGGGGUAAAGGCCUACCAAGGCGACGAUCCAUAGCUGGUCUGAGAGGAUGGUCAGCCACACUGGGACUGAGACACGGCCCAGACUCCUACGGGAGGCAGCAGUGGGGAAUAUUGGACAAUGGGCGCAAGCCUGAUCCAGCCAUGCCGCGUGAGUGAUGAAGGCCCUAGGGUUAUAAAGCUCUUUCACCGGUGAAGAUAAUGACGGUAACCGGAGAAGAAGCCCCGGCUAACUUCGUGCCAGCCGCCGCCGUAAGAC
rnacentral:rRNA from 1 species